rnacentral:rRNA from 1 species
UCUAACAAGGUCUCCGUUGGUGAACCAGCGGAGGGAUCAUUA